rnacentral:rRNA from 1 species
UACGAAGGGGGCUAGCGUUGCUCGGAAUCACUGGGCGUAAAGCGCACGUAGGCGGAUCGUUAAGUCAGGGGGGAAAUCCUGGAGCUCAACUCCAGAACUGCCUUUGAUACUGGCGACCUUGAGUUCGGGAGAGGUGAGUGGAACUGCGAGUGUAGAGGUGAAAUUCGUAGAUAUUCGCAAGAACACCAGUGGCGAAGGCGGCUCACUGGCCCGAUACUGACGCUGAGGUGCGAAAGCGUGGGGAGCAAACAGG